UCCCCUUAUCACUCAACACUUUAUUCUUCUCUCUCCAUUAAUCUUCGUUGAAAGAGAAUCAUCUUUGCUUUCGCCCAUGACCACUGUUUAUGACCCUUCACACCGUCUCACCUCCAAAAAAUUGUGUUUCAAGGACCUUGAAAUCCCUCCAAGGAAAAAGCAACUCCAUUGUUGCCACAACGCCGCCGCCAUGGAACUUCCCCACCACGAAGCUAGGCUCCACAAAUACCUUCCUUCCAAUGAAGACAAUGACGGCACCGAUGAUCCAUACGGCACCGACCAUUUCCGCAUGUACGAGUUCAAGGUAAGAAGGUGUACAAGGAGCCGUAGCCAUGACUGGACUGACUGUCCUUUUGCUCAUCCAGGUGAAAAAGCCCGCCGUCGUGACCCUACUCGGUACCAAUACUCCUCCACCAUCUGUUCUGACUUCCGCCGGGGCGGUGGUUGUCCUCGCGGCGAUGACUGUGAGUUCGCUCAUGGAGUGUUCGAAUGUUGGCUUCACCCUACACGUUACAGAACCGAAGCGUGUAAAGAUGGUAAGAACUGUAAGCGUAAGGUUUGUUUCUUUGCUCAUUCGUCACGUGAGCUUCGUCUCUUGCUGGAAUCACAACCGCCAUACAAAAACUCCGACAAGAACUAUAACCAUUGCUGCUUGUUUUGCCGGUCGGUUACAUCGUCGUCGUCGUUGUCCCCAACAAGUACUCUCUUGGGUUUAUCUCAAUUCUCGAGAUCCCCAUCCCUGUCACCGCCUCUAUCUCCCUUAAAACACCAGCAACGAACACCAAGGUACGGCGGUGAUCGUAUUAGUAAAUUUGGAACCGAAAUGACAACCAGUUACGAUGAUGUUUUGUUGAAGGAAGUCAUGAGUUGUUUAGGAACCAUGACUUUGUCCGAAGUACCUUCACCAAUGGCUACUACUCCAAAUACAAACAUUCCAUGGCUUGAUGUUUCAUUCAAAGGAGCUCCUUCAAUGGUAAGUCCUUCUGGUUCUGGUGAAUAUUUCAAUGGUGGUGGUGAUGAUGAGAAAAACAAUGGAAACGGUGUCGUUUUGGAUCAUGAUCUUGACCUCGGGUGGGUUAAUGAGCUCUUGAUGUAGAGGAAGAAGAUAUAUAUAUAUAUAUAUGAUCUUCAAAGUGUAUAUAUUUUAUGUGUGAUUGGGUUUAAAAAGAUUGCUGAUCUGAUUAUUGUUUUUAAAUAUUUUCAUAUUGCAAACCAAGUUAAUUUCAAUUUGUAAGGCUUUUUUUUUAAGAGAUCUAAUAUGAUCUUCUUUUUAUCUACUUAUGAAAUAUUGAUGAAGUCAAAACUUUUGUUCUCCUUAUGCAUGCAUGUAUUUAUGUAUGUUGUUUGAAUUGCAUAUGAUGUAUGUGAUUAACCUAAUAAAAGUUAACGAAAUAUUGGGUACAGCUUAAAAGGGUUGGAAGAAAUAUGGGGUGAUGACACAUUAAUUGCGUGGCAAACAUGCAAGCAUCCUCAAAUAAUAGUGUCCGAUAAUACGUGUACAAAUACUACGUGUCCAUAUUACGAGGAUAUUUGUUAAUAAAAAUUCACAUAUUUCAUCUAUUAUUUAUCUUUCAUAUUUUAUGGAAAAUGAUUUUUGCAAAAUGUGAUCUUCUUUAUUAUAAUAUUAACGAUAAAUUUUUUCAUAAUCUAGAGAGCAAAAUUUAAUUAUUAAUUAAUAAAAACAAUGAAAUUUAUUGAUUUUUUAUAAUAAUAUGAAAGUAUAAAAUUUAAACGUAAUCAAAUGCAUAAAUUGAGCAAACAUAUCAUAAUUAUAUGGUUCCUACAAUAAUGUCCAAAUGUAUAACUAGGACUACAAGAAAAUUGUCCAUAAACUUGAAACACCAAUGUCCAAGUGCAUAAUGUUCUUUAGGUAAAACUUUGAAGUCCAAUUUUCCUAUACUAAUUAUUUUCAGUCAAAGACAGUUUUGGUGUUGGUCUCAUGCAAAGACCUUACACAAAAACUUCAUCAAAUCCCUCCCAGUUUUGGUGUUGGUCUCAUGCAAAGACCUUACACAAAAACUUCAUCAAAUCCCUCCCAUUCCAUUGAUAUUAUUACUUUAAUAAAUGUGUGAGGAUAUAGAUAAAAAUAUAAGCUCAAAAGAGUUAAUCUCGAAGGAUUUUUAGCUUGGUUUGAUCGAACUUAUAAAAGGAGAUUGUUAUUUUGCUAUUUUUUUACUAUUUUACUAUUAUUUUACUAUUGUUAUUAUUGUUUAAAUAUUCUAUAAUUUUUAUUUUCCUCUUAAUUUUACUACUAUUUUAGAGUUAUUUACUUAUUAAGUUGCACUUAUUUUAAUGUUAUUUAAUAUCAAAAGUUUUUUAAAUAAGCCAAAACAUUUAUUUUGAUCUUUUUAAUAUAUUAUAUUUUUUAAUUUUUUAUAAAAAAAUAAAAUAAAAAAUUUAAUAUAGGUCAAGCCUGAAUUUAGCAUCCCUAGUCCUUGAAUUAAAUUUAAGUAAAAAUUUAAAUUUACUUUUUAAGUCGGACUCAAACCUAGAAUUUAAUUAUACAAUACUUCUCAUAGAGACUUCUAGUUGCGAAAUAUAAUUGUAUUUCAUAAAUUUAAAUUAUCCUAUCCAAAAAUCGUUGUUAUUUUCCGAAAAUAAUUUUCUUUAAAAUAAAAUAAAUUAUAAUAUAUAAAAAAUUGUCAAGAAAGGUAGUCUAAUAUUUUUUUUAUAAACAAUUAUAAUUUAAAAUAAAUGAGAACCUCCAAAAUAUAUUUAUUUAAAAAAUUAAAAUACAUUUAAAUUAGUGAAACUUCAACUUCUAAAAACAUAAAAAUCUCAGAAUCAUUUCAAGGCAUUUAAACAUUAUAAUGUUGUAUUUUAUUUUAAAAGUUUCAUCACUCAAUUUCUUCAUUUCACUUAAGGCUUUUACACGUUCAUAAUGUUUUAUUUUAUUUUCAAUGUUUUCUUUUUAUAAAAUAUGCUGCACUCAUUAUCUAUUACAUCAACACAAUUAGAAAAUGACAAAAAAAGAUAACUCAUUCUACAUAGUUUAUAUUAUUUUAAGAAUGUUUUUGUGUUUUCGUAUUUUUAUAAAUGGAGUCUAAAUCGAGAUACUUUAUUUAUUUUUAAUUAAUUUUUAAUCAAAAUAUUUAUUACAUAAUAUUUUUUCACUUAAAUUUGAAAUUUAACCGUUGUAUUUUUAAUUUUUUAUAUCGAAUUUUCCAUCAAAUAAAUAUGAAUUUUAAAGCCAAUCAUAGAUAUUAUAUAUUAUAUAUUAUAAAAUAAUUACAAUAUAUUUAAAACAUAAAUUCCCAAAGGAAAAUCUUUUAAAAAAAUUAACUAAUUUAAUUACCCAUUAUGAAAAAGCUAAACUUGAAAAAUGUAUACAAGGAGAGAUGCAUGCAUAUAUGGUCCAAAAUUCACAAGUACAUAGACAAAACAAUCAUUUUAAAAAGGUUAAAUUUUCCUAUUGGAUCUUGUAUUUUGUGUAAAUUGUGAAUCUAGUGCAUGCACUUUAAUUUGAUCAAUUUUAGCUUUUAUACUUUUCGAAUUUUAAAAUUUUAAUCCUAACUCAAUAGUAACGGUUAAAUUUGUUUGGUUAAAUUAUGCCAUUACUCCUAUAUUAUGCAUGACAUUAUAUAUUUGGUUCACAUUUACCAAUUGGAUCAUUCUUAGUAACUAUAUUCUUUGAAUUUCAAAAUAUAAGUCUUAAUGCAAAUGAUAGUCGUUAAAUCUAUUAAUUGAUUUUUUGUGAGUAAUAUGUGAAAAUAACAAAUGAACAUAACAUUACACAUGUGAUAGUAUGUUUGCCACGUCAAAUUUUAAAAAUAACAUAACAUAACUUAACGAAUUUAAUAGUUAUCAUUUGGUUAGGACUAAAAUUUUGGAAUUCUAAAAAUAUAAAGACUAAAAAUAACAAAAUUAAAAUAUAAAUAUUAAAUCUACAAUUUACGCAAAAUACAAGUUGUAAUAGCAAACUUGCACCCUCUAAAAAACAAAUACAGCAAAAGGUAAUUUUUGUUUAUACCUUAAAGUACAUUAAAGAACAUUUGCUUUUUAUUAUCUUUUAAAUUUUUUAUGUUUAAAUGAAUUUUUAUAAAAUUUAUAUAAAAUAUGAAAACAAAAAAAUUAUUAUUUUGUGAAAGUAAGAAAAUUUUUAAUCAUUUCUCAAUUAAAUUAAUAGUCAAUUAAUUCUCACACCGUGAUAAAAUGCGUAUACCAUACUAGACUAAAAAAUAACAUAAAUACUACAUUAAGUAUUUAUAUUUUUAUAAUAUUUUUUAUUUCUUUAAAUGUAAAACUUUUUUUAAUAUUAAUUUUAUUAUAUGUUCUUAUCAUUUUUUUAUAUAAUGCGUGGAACUACUUAUAACUCUUCUUCAGCCCUUAAAUAGGAGGAUAAUACGUUUCAACGUACUCAAACUCACGUCUUUCUACAUUAAUAAUAAUACUGAUACUAAUUAAACUAAAUCUUAUUCACAUUAAAUGUAAACUUAAACUUUGAUUAUAUUAAAAAAUAUUAUUAAUUUAUUAAUAUAAAAGAAUAGUUGCAAUUGACAUUUGACAAAGUAUAAAGAAGCCACAUGGAGGGAGACUUGGAUCCCAAGAUUCCAAAGAGCAUGACAAUGUCAGGCCUCAUACCCCCUAAAAAGGGCAUAAAUCCAAGGCUGUUCUUAAACACAAGGCUUUCAGUAAUCAGCCAACACAUAGCAUCUCUUUGCUUUGCUGUGCUUUCUGAUGCUGCCACGAUUCCCUUUUUGCAUGCUUACCCCUAAUAAUGUUUAGCCACGCCUCCCCUCACCCUCAACCCCAUACCCUUAACUUCUUCUCUUCUACAUUCUCAUUCUUAUUAUAAUCACAUUCAAUUCCAAUUAUUUAUUAUUUGAACUAAUAUUUUAAUAAUUUAUUUAUCAAGUUUAUUAAAAUAAUUAUAUUUUUUACAGGUCUGAAAUUUUAAAUCUUGUUCCAUAUUUCUAUCAUUUUGAGGUAUAACAUUAUCUUAAUUAAUAUAUAUUUAACUCAGUAAUUUUUUAUUUAAAAUAAAUAGUUUUAUAUUUCUUUUUAUUUACACAAAAUUUGACACAACAUACAUUAAAUACAAAAUAUGACAGUUCAAUUAUUAUCACAAAAACGAAAACAACAUAAGAUCAAAUACGUUUAAACAUUUUUCUCUUCAAUUGUAGAUAUUGUAUAAAUAAGACCUAAAACUAUAGUCUAAUUGAAUCUCUAUCUGUGUCUCAUUUUCCUACACACUCUCUAUAAUAUAAAACUAAUGCUUGUUGGGUGGAAAGAUAAGCAACUUGAUAUCCCUUAAAUCAGGUAUUCUAUUCAAAUCUUAUGAAUGAAAAAAAAAAAAAAACAAGCUCUUGUGGAGCUUUGUUCCACUUUUUUAAGGGCUUUACUGGUCUUAGCUUUAAAUUUAGUCGAAACUUAAUAUAAUUAUUGGAUAUCGAAGAAUUUCAAACUAAUAUAUAGCUCAACUUUAAAUUUAGUCAAAACCCUAAUAUGAUUAUCAAAUAUUAAAAAAUUUCAGAAUAAUAUAUAACCUGAUUUUAAAUUUAGUCAAAACCCUAAUAUAAUUACUAAAUAGACUGAAAAUUUUUACAUUAAUAUACAGUUCAAUUUGAAAUUUAAUAGAAACCCAAAAUAGUUACAAUUUUAAACUAAUACAUAGUUUGAUUUUAAAUUUAGUGAAAACCUAAUAUAAUUACAGGAUAUUAGUAUUCCACACCCCCAUGGCCCCUAUAUAUAUCCAAGUCCCCCAUCCCAAUCCAUUUGUCCCCUUAUCACUCAACACUUUAUUCUUCUCUCUCCAUUAAUCUUCAUUGAAAGAAAAUCAUCUUUGCUUUCACCCAUGACCACUGUUUAUGACCCUUCACACCAUCUCACCUCCAAAAAAUUGUGUUUCAAGGACCUUGAAAUCCCUCCAAGGAAAAAGCAACUCCAUUGUUGCCACAACGCCGCCGCCAUGGAACUUCCCCACCACGAAGCUAGGCUCCACAAAUACCUCCCCUCCAAUGAAGACGAUGACGGUACCGAUGAUCCAUACGGCACCGACCAUUUCCGUAUGUACGAGUUCAAAGUAAGAAGGUGUACAAGGAGCCGUAGCCAUGACUGGACUGACUGUCCCUUCGCUCAUCCAGGUGAAAAAGCCCG
rnacentral:lncRNA from 1 species